UACAGGAGGAUAGCCUAGGGAAACCUGGAUUAACCCUUCAUAGUAUUAUUGGAUGGCAUCAUUUGAUAGUUAAAACUGAGGUGGUAUAGGAUGGGCAUGCGUCUGAUUAGUUAGUUGGCGGGGUAAUGGCCCACCAAGACGAUGAUCAGUAGGGGUUCUGAGAGGAAGAUCCCCCCACACUGGCACUGAGAUACGGGCCAGACUCCUACGGGAGGCAGCAGUAGGGAAUAUUGGUCAAUGGAUGCAAGUCUGAACCAGCCAUGCCGCGUGCAGGAAGAAGGCCUUCUGGGUUGUAAACUGCUUUUGCCAGGGAUAAAAUUUCCAUGCGUGGAAAACUGAAGGUACCUGGUGAAUAAGCCACGGCUAACUACGUG
rnacentral:rRNA from 1 species